rnacentral:rRNA from 1 species
AUUGAACGCUGGCGGCAGGCCUAACACAUGCAAGUCGAACGGUAGCACAGAGAGCUUGCUCUCGGGUGACGAGUGGCGGACGGGUGAGUAACGUCUGGGAAACUGCCCGAUGGAGGGGGAUAACUACUGGAAACGGUAGCUAAUACCGCAUAACGUCGCAAGACCAAAGUGGGGGACCUUCGGGCCUCACACCAUCGGAUGUGCCCAGAUGGGAUUAGCUAGUAGGUGGGGUAAUGGCUCACCUAGGCGACGAUCCCUAGCUGGUCUGAGAGGAUGGCCAGCCACACUGGAACUGAGACACGGUCCAGACUCCUACGGGAGGCAGCAGUGGGGAAUAUUGCACAAUGGGCGCAAGCCUGAUGCAGCCAUGCCGCGUGUAUGAAGAAGGCCUUCGGGUUGUAAAGUACUUUCAGCGGGGAGGAAGGCGGUGGAGUUAAUAACUUCACCGAUUGACGUUACCCGCAGAAGAAGCACCGGCUAACUCCGUGCCAGCAGCCGCAGUAA